UCAUAGUUGAAAAGGCUUGGAAAAGUUUUUCAAUCAAAGGAAUAAAAUAAAUGGUUUUUAUUUGCCAUAGGAUAGGAUCGUGGUCGAUUAUGGUAGUUGGCGAGGUAAUGGCUCACCAAGCCGAUAAUCGAUAGGGGCCGUGAGAGCGGGAGCCCUUUGAUGGGUACUGAGACAACGACCCAGGCCUUACGAGGCGCAGCAGGCGCGAAACCUCCGCAAUACACGAAAGUGUGACGGGGUUACCCAAAGUGCUCAUUUGUGAGGCUGUGGUAGGUGAGUAAUGUCCCCUACU
rnacentral:rRNA from 1 species